UGUCCAGACUCCUACGGGAGGCAGCAGUGGGGGAUAUUGCACAAUGGGGGAAACCCUGAUGCAGCGACGCCGCGUGUGGGAAGACGGUCCUCUGGAUUGUAAACCACUGUCCCCAGGGACGAAAAUGACGGUACCUGGGGAGGAAGCUCCGGCUAACUACGUGCCAGCAGCCGCGGUAAUACGUAGGGGGCAAGCGUUAUCCGGAUUUACUGGGUGUAAAGGGAGCGUAGACGGCGAAGAAAGUCUGAAGUGAAAGCCCGCGGCUCAACCGCGGAAUGGCUUUGGAAACUUUUUUGCUGGAGUACCGGAGAGGUAAGCGGAAUUCCUAGUGUAGCGGUGAAAUGCGUAGAUAUUAGGAGGAACACCAGUGGCGAAGGCGGCCUACUGGACGGUGACUGACGCUGAGGCUCGAAAGCGUGGGGAGCAAACAGGAUUAGAUACCCGAGUAAG
rnacentral:rRNA from 1 species